AACGCGAAGAACCUUACCUACCCUUGACAUCCCCGGAAUCUCGCAGAGAUGUGAGAGUGCCGAAAGGAACCGGGAGACAGGUGCUGCAUGGCUGUCGUCAGCUCGUGUUGUGAGAUGUUGGGUUAAGUCCCGUAACGAGCGCAACCCUUAUCCUUAGUUGCCAACGCGUAAUGGCGGGGACUCUAAGGAGACUGCUGGUGAUAAACCGGAGGAAGGUGGGGACGACGUCAAGUCAUCAUGGCCUUUAUGGGUAGGGCUACACACGUGCUACAAUGGGGCGUACAGAGGGUUGCCAACCUGCGAAGGGGAGCCAAUCUCAGAAAGCGUCUCGUAGUCCGGAUCGAAGUCUGCAACUCGACUUCGUGAAGUCGGAAUCGCUAGUAAUCGCGAAUCAGAAUGUCGCGGUGAAUACGUUCCCGGGCCUUGUACAC
rnacentral:rRNA from 1 species